rnacentral:rRNA from 1 species
UACGUAGGGUGCGAGCGUUAAUCGGAAUUACUGGGCGUAAAGCGUGCGCAGGCGGCUUCGCAAGUCAGACGUGAAAUCCCCGGGCUUAACCUGGGAAUGGCGUUUGAAACUACGGAGCUGGAGUGUGGCAGAGGGAGGUAGAAUUCCACGUGUAGCGGUGAAAUGCGUAGAUAUGUGGAGGAACACCGAUGGCGAAGGCAGCCCCCUGGGUCAAAACUGACGCUCAUGCACGAAAGCGUGGGGAGCAAACAGG